rnacentral:rRNA from 1 species
AUUGAACGCUGGCGGCAUGCUUUACACAUGCAAGUCGAACGGUAACAGGGAGCUUGCUCCGCUGACGAGUGGCGAACGGGUGAGUAAUGCGUCGGAACGUGCCGAGUAGUGGGGGAUAACGCAUCGAAAGGUGUGCUAAUACAGCAUACGUACUGAGGUAGAAAGUGGGGGACCUUCGGGCAUCACGCGAUUCGAGCGGCCGACGUCUGAUUAGCUAGUUGGUGAGGUAAAGGCUCACCAAGGCGACGAUCAGUAGCGGGUCUGAGAGGAUGAUCCGCCACACUGGGACUGAGGCACGGCCCAGACUCCUACGGGAGGCAGCAGUGGGGAAUUUUGGACAAUGGGCGCAAGCCUGAUCCAGCCAUGCCGCGUGUCUGAAGAAGGCCUUCGGGUUGUAAAGCUCUUUCGGCAGGAACGAAACGGCGAGCUCUAACAUAGCUUGCUAAUGACGGUACCUGAAGAAGAAGCACCGGCUAACUACGUGCCAGCAGCCGCGGUAAAAC